AUUGAACGCUGGCGGCAGGCCUAACACAUGCAAGUCGAGCGAGCGGCGGACGGGUGAGUAAUGUAUGGGAAACUGCCUGAUGGAGGGGGAUAACUACUGGAAACGGUAGCUAAUACCGCAUACCAUCAGAUGUGCCCAGAUGGUAUGAGCUAGUAGGUGGGGUAAUGGCUCACCUAGGCGACGAUCCCUAGCUGGUCUUAGAGGAUGACCAGCCACACUGGAACUGGGACACGGUCCAGACUCCUGCGGUAGUCAGCAGUAGGGAAUAUUGGACAAUGGGCGCAAGCCUGAUGCAGCCAUGCCGCGUGUGUGAAGAAGGCCUUCGGGUUGGAAAGCACUUUCAGCGGUGAGGCGUUACCCGAAGAAGAAGCACCGGCUAACUCCGUGCCAGCAGCCGCGGUAAUAC
rnacentral:rRNA from 1 species